rnacentral:rRNA from 1 species
GACGGAGGAUGCAAGCGUUAUCCGGAAUGAUUGGGCGUAAAGCGUCCGCAGGUGGCAGUUCAAGUCUGCUGUCAAAGACCGGGGCUUAACUUCGGAAAGGCAGUGGAAACUGAACAGCUAAAGUAUGGUAGGGGCAGAGGGAAUUCCUGGUGUAGCGGUGAAAUGCGUAGAUAUCAGGAAGAACAUCGGUGGCGAAGGCGCUCUGCUGGACCAUAACUGACACUCAGGGACGAAAGCUAGGGGAGCGAAUGGG